UUUCCGUAGGUGAACCUGCGGAAGGAUCAUUCAUAAUAAGUGUUUUACUGCACUUUUUAAAAAUAGUACUCACCUUGUGUGCGAUGUUAUGUUUCUUUUCGGAGAAACACCUACACCAACCUAUAACCUUGAACCACUUUGUCUGAAAAACUAUUAUGAAUACUUAAUUCAAAAUACAACUUUCAACAACGGAUCUCUUGGCUCUC
rnacentral:misc_RNA from 1 species